rnacentral:rRNA from 1 species
AACCUGCCCAAGAGAUCGGGAUAACACCUGGAAACAGAUGCUAAUACCGGAUAACAACAGAUGAUGCCUAUCAACUGUUUAAAAGAUGGUUCUGCUACCACUCUUGGAUGGACCUGCGGUGCAUUAGCUAGUUGGUAGGGUAACGGCCUACCAAGGCGAUGAUGCAUAGCCGAGUUGAGAGACUGAUCGGCCACAUUGGGACUGAGACACGGCCCAAACUCCUACGGGAGGCAGCAGCA